rnacentral:rRNA from 1 species
AGUGAACGCUGGCGGUAGGCCUAACACAUGCAAGUCGAACGGCAGCACAGUAAGAGCUUGCUCUUACGGGUGGCGAGUGGCGGACGGGUGAGGAAUACAUCGGAAUCUACUUUUUCGUGGGGGAUAACGUAGGGAAACGUACGCUAAUACCGCAUACGACCUACGGGUGAAAGCAGGGGUUCUUCGGAGCUUUCGCGAUAGAAUGAGCCGAUGUCGGAUUAGCUAGUUGGCGGGGUAAGGGCCCAGCCAGGCGACGCUACGUAGCUGGUUCGAGAGGAUGGAUCAGCAACACGGGACCUGGGCAACGUUCCAGACUCCUACGGGAGGCAGCAGUGGGAAUUAUUGGACAAUGGGCGCAAGCCUGAUCCAGCCAGACGGCGUGGGUGAAGAAGGCCUUCGGGUUGUAAAGCCCUUUUGUUGGGAAAGAAAAGCAGCAGGUUAAUACCCCGCUGUUCUGACGGUACCCAAAGAAUAAGAACCGGCUAACUUCGU